rnacentral:rRNA from 1 species
AUUGAACGCUGGCGGAAUGCUUUACACAUGCAAGUCGAGCGGCAGCACGGGGGCAACCCUGGUGGCGAGCGGCGAACGGGUGAGUAAUGCAUCGGAACGUACCCCGUCGUGGGGGAUAACUGUCCGAAAGGACAGCUAAUACCGCAUACGACCUGAGGGUGAAAGCGGGGGACCGCAAGGCCUCGCGCGAUGGGAGCGGCCGAUGCUCGAUUAGCUCGUUGGUAGGGUAAAGGCCUACCAAGGCGACGAUCGAUAGAUGGUCUGAGAGGAUGAUCAGCCACGCUGGGACUGAGACACGGCCCCGACUCCUACGGGAGGCAGGAGUGGGGAAUUUUGGACAAUGGGCGCAAGCCUGAGCCAGCCAUUCCGCGUGAGUGAAGAAGGCCUUCGGGUUGUAAAGCUCUUUCGGCAGGAACGAAACGGUGGGGGCUAAUACCCCCUGCUAAUGACGGUACCUGAAGAAGAAGCACCGGCUAACUACGUGCCAGCCGCCGCAGUAAUAC